rnacentral:rRNA from 1 species
AUUGAACGCUGGCGGCAUGCCUUACACAUGCAAGUCGAACGGUAACAGGUCUUCGGAUGCUGACGAGUGGCGAACGGGUGAGUAAUACAUCGGAACGUGCCUAGUAGUGGGGGAUAACUACUCGAAAGAGUGGCUAAUACCGCAUGAGAUCUACGGAUGAAAGCAGGGAAUCGCAAGACCUUGUGCUACUAGAGCGGCCGAUGGCAGAUUAGGUAGUUGGUGGGAUAAAAGCUUACCAAGCCGACGAUCUGUAGCUGGUCUGAGAGGACGAUCAGCCACACUGGGACUGAGACACGGCCCAGACUCCUACGGGAGGCAGCAGUGGGGAAUUUUGGACAAUGGGCGAAAGCCUGAUCCAGCAAUGCCGCGUGCAGGACGAAGGCCUUCGGGUUGUAAACUGCUUUUGUUCGGAACGAAAAGCCCCGGGUUAAUACCCUAGGGUCAUGACGGUACCGUAAGAAUAAGCACCGGCUAACUACGUGCCAGCCGCCGCGGUAA